CUGUUGGAGGUAUCGACCCCUCCAGUAGCGAAGCUAACGCGUUAAGUAUCCCGCCUGUGGAGUACGGUCGCAAGACUAAAACAUAAAGGAAUUGACGGGGACCCGCACAAGCGGUGGAUUGUGUUCUUUAAUUCGAUGAUAAACGAUGAACCUUACCAGGGCUUGACAUCCCGAGAAUUAAUCCGAAAGGAUUGAGUGCUUUAUUGAACUCGGUGACAGAUCUUGCAUGGCCGUCGUCAGCUCGUGUCGUGAGAUGUUUGGUUAAGUCCAUCAACGAGCGCAACCCUUGUGAUUAGUUGUAUUUUUCUAAUCAGACUGCCCCGGCAACGGGGAGGAAGGAGGGGAUGAUGUCAGGUCAGUAUUAGUCUUACGUCCUGGGCUAGAAACGCAAUACAAUGGCGAGUACAAUGCGCAGCGAAGCCGCGAGGUGAAGCAAAUCGCAUCAAAGCUCGUCCCAGUUCGGAUAAGAGGCUGAAACUCGCCUCUUUGAAGUCGGAAUCGCUAGUAAUCGCAGAUCAGCAAGCUGCGGUGAAUACGUUCCCGGGCCUUGUACACUCCGCC
rnacentral:rRNA from 1 species